rnacentral:rRNA from 1 species
AAAGGAAUAGACGGGGGCCCGCACAAGCGGUGGAGCAUGUGGUUUAAUUCGAUGAUACGCGAGGAACCUUACCAGGGCUUAAAUGUAGUGGGACAGGCUUAGAGAUAGGCUUUUCUUCGGACUCAUUACAAGGUGCUGCAUGGUUGUCGUCAGCUCGUGCCGUGAGGUGUCAGGUUAAGUCCUAUAACGAGCGCAACCCUUACCGUUAGUUGCCAGCGAGUGAAGUCGGGGACUCUAACGGGACUGCCGGUGCAAACCGUGAGGAAGGUGGGGAUGACGUCAAAUCAUCACGGCCCUUACGUCCUGGGCCACACACGUGCUACAAUGGCCGGUACAAUGAGCAGCCACUGCGCAAGCAGGAGCGAAUCUAUAAAACCGGUCACAGUUCGGAUCGGGGUCUGCAACUCGACCCCGUGAAGCUGGAAUCGCUAGUAAUCGGAUAUCAGCCAUGAUCCGGUGAAUACGUUCCCGGGCCUUGUACACACCGCCCGU